GUAAUACUUCGUACGAUCCUUUGAACCUUUUUUACUCUUAAAAGACUAAUUGAGAGGGAGAGAAAGUUGGUGUAUUUUGAUGUAUAUGAGAUCGUUGGUAAAUACUGAUUUAUAUAAUUUGGAACAUAUGUACUUUGAUCCACGAUAAUAUGAUAAUGAUUGGUUAUCAAGAACAUACAUAUAUUUUCAUCGUGAUGGAUACCAUUGGAAGAACCUGAAGUUAUGAGUUGUCCUCGAUAUUUAUGAUAAUGCCUCAUUCAUUAGUAUUAUCUACAGAAUUAUUACGAUACUAACGCACGCUGCUGUCACUAUCGUUGAGGUAAUUUUCUGUCGCGAAUAUCGCGCAAAAUGUUUUGCUGGAAUUCACUUUGGUAGUAUAAUGUACGUAGAAAUAAUGCUCAAUUUUAUUCCGGAAUGUUCGACAAUUCUUUCCACCAUCGUUCUUCGCAAUUUCUUGACAACUAUUCCUUGUCAUUAUUUAAAAUUCGCAAAAUUCCAAUUCUAAGCUCAGCUUAUAAUUUUCUAUUAACCAUCGACUUAUACCAUGCGUUCAAUAAUUUUUCGAUAACCGACAAUCGUCGCAAUUAUCGAACAUUUCCAAAAUUCUGUCUCUCGAAUAAACUCGUACACACGUUCCCGUUGGUCGACAAAUUCCAGCUAUCGAAAAUACCAUCGCUACGUUUAACGUUCUAAAGUCCACGCGAUUAGCCUGAAAGCCACAGUAGAAUGUUCUUCAAAUUUUCCACGAUAAUUCACCCACAUUUCCACGAUUGUCGGACUGAAAACAAACCAAUUCAAACAUACGACGCCAAAUGAACACCCACGACGACAGUGGCGUUCGACCUUGAGGCGCUCGAUUCCGCUUAUCGCGGUCGUUUUUCGCGAGGGGUCCUCGCGUUCAGCGAACCUCGUCGCGAUAACCUUAUCGUCGUCCAAUCAGCAGGCUCGCGCUUCCCCUUGGACGCUUAGAUAAACGUUGCACCGUGGUGGCUGCAGAACGAUAGCUCGCUUUCGUUCCCUUCGGGCGGCCGAUGUUGCUCGCGCCAGCUCGCGCGCUCGCCCAGAGCCAUCGUAUUCAGGGAGUAGAGCCGCUGCCGACGGCUACGUAUAUGGGCUUUCAGAUCGGGCCAAGUAGGCGUGCGAGGAAUGGAUGCCGUGGCAACGGGCGAAUUAGAGGGACGACACUCUUUUUCCGUGUAUCGCGAGAGGAAGAGGAUGAUAGUUUCAAAGGGGUUCAGAGAAAGAGAAAGAGAGAGAGAGAGAGGGUCAUUGGCCUCCAAAUCGAAGACUCGCGAGCGCGUUUUUAGUUUGUCACCGCAGACCCACGACUAGCCGCCAGGAUUUGCGCGAGAAACACCGUUUAGUGGACGCGUCGAGAGAUUACGCUUCUCUUUAAUUAGUAGCUGCUUCAGCGAACGAGCCACUCAGCUUGGAAUUUUGAUAAUUUCUUGGUUCUCGGCUCUUGAUUAACUGUGCAUUUAUACGAGUGUAUCGCUGUCGAGGGAUUUAAAGGGCGAAUUCGGCCAUUAUGGCUGUGUCUUGGACGAGGAUGAGGAUUUUGCGAGUAUCGUAUGGAUUUCGUGGUGUGUUCAAACGUAGGAAAAGAUUUUCAAGAAGUUUCGUAAACGAUCGUUUGCGUUACGAGGAUCGAUGUUGGAUCGUGAGAAAGAUAUUAUAAAGGAUUGUAUAUCUACCCAAGCAAUUGGUAACGUGCUAAUUAUUUUAGCAAAUGGAACGUCCAUCACUAGCUAGCUAUUGACCCGAGAAAUGCAAGAUUUACGUUUGCCGCUCGAUAUCCACCGCGAUAUCUUCGCAACGAGUCGACCUCGACCGCUCCAUAAAUUAUUGCUAAAUACGAAUAUGUACAUCUACGUUUUUACGAAUACCAAGCAA